rnacentral:lncRNA from 1 species
AUGGGAAACGGGCGGCGGUACCCCGGAACUGCCGUUAUCCCGAAUUUCCCCCCUGAUCCCAAAUUUCCCGUUAUCCCAAAAUUCCCAUUAUCCAGGAAUUCCUGUUAUCCCAAAUUUCCCGUUAUCCCAAAAUUCCCAUUAUCCAGGAAUUUCUGUUAUCCCAGAAUUCCUGUUAUCCCAAAAUUCCCAUUAUUAUCCAGGAAUUUCUGUUAUCCCAAAAUUCCUGUUAUCCCAAAAUUCCCAUUAUUAUCCCGGAAUUCCUGUUAUCCCAAAAUUCCCAUUAUCCAGGAAUUUCUGUUAUCCCCAAAUUCCCGUUAUCCCAAAAUUCCCAUUAUCCAGGAAUUUCUGUUAUCCCGGAAUUCCUAUUAUCCCAAAAUUCCUGUUAUCCUGGAAUUUCUGUUAUCCCAGUUUUUUGUCACUGUUAUCCCAAAAUUCCCAUUCUUUUGGUAUUCCUGUUAUCCCAGAAUUCCCAUUCUUCUGAUAUUCCCAAUUUCCCCAUUAUCCCAGUUCCCAUUAUCCCAGUUUCCCAUCCAUUAUCCCAGUCCCCAUUAUCCCAGUUCCCAUUAUCCCAGUCCCCAUUAUCCCAGUUCCCAUUAUCCCAGUUCCUAUUAUCCCAUUCCCAUUAUCCCAGUCCCCAUUAUCCCAGUUCCCAUUAUCCCAGUCCCCAUUAUCCCAGUCCCCAUUAUCCCAGUCCCCAUUAUCCCAGUUCCCAUUAUCCCAGUUCCCAUUAUCCCAGUCCCCAUUAUCCCAGUCCCAUUAUCCCAGUUUCGCAUCCAUUAUCCCAGUUUGUCCCCCAUUAUCCCAGUUUCCCAUCCCUUAUCCCAGUUCCCAUUAUCCCAGUCCCCAUUAUCCCAGUUCCCAUUAUCCCAUUCCCAUUAUCCCAUUCCCAUUAUCCCAGUCCCCAUUAUCCCAGUCCCCAUUAUCCCAGUUCCCAUUAUCCCAGUCCCCAUUAUCCCAGUUCCCAUUAUCCCAGUCCCCAUUAUCCCAGUUCCUAUUAUCCCAGUCCCCAUUAUCCCAGUUCCCAUUAUCCCAUUCCCAUUAUCCCAGUUUCGCAUCCAUUAUCCCAGUUUGUCCCCCAUUAUCCCAGUUUCCCAUCCCUUAUCCCAGUACCCAUUAUCCCAGUUCCCAUUAUCCCAGUUCCCAUUAUCCCAGUUCCCAUUAUCCCAUUCCCAUUAUCCCAUUCCCAUUAUCCCAGUUUCCCAUCCAUUAUCCCAGUCCCAUUAUCCCAGUCCCAUUAUCCCAGUCCCCAUUAUCCCAGUCCCCAUUAUCCCAUUCCCAUUAUCCCAGUUCCCAUUAUCCCAGUUCCCAUUAUCCCAGUUCCCAUUAUCCCAUUCCCAUUAUCCCAGUCCCCAUUAUCCCAGUCCCCAUUAUCCCAGUUCCCAUUAUCCCAGUCCCCAUUAUCCCAGUCCCCAUUAUCCCAGUUCCCAUUAUCCCAUUCCCAUUAUCCCAGUCCCCAUUAUCCCAGUCCCCAUUAUCCCAGUCCCCAUUAUCCCAGUUCCCAUUAUCCCAGUCCCCAUUAUCCCAGUUCCCAUUAUCCCAGUCCCCAUUAUCCCAGUCCCAUUAUCCCAGUCCCCAUUAUCCCAUUCCCAUUAUCCCAGUUCCCAUUAUCCCAUUCCCAUUAUCCCAUUCCCAUUAUCCCAGUUCCCAUUAUCCCAGUCCCCAUUAUCCCAUUCCCAUUAUCCCAGUUCCCAUUAUCCCAGUUCCCAUUAUCCCAUUCCCAUUAUCCCAGUUCCCAUUAUCCCAUUCCCAUUAUCCCAUUCCCAUUAUCCCAGUUCCCAUUAUCCCAGUCCCCAUUAUCCCAUUCCCAUUAUCCCAUUCCCAUUAUCCCAGUUCCCAUUAUCCCAGUCCCCAUUAUCCCAUUCCCCAUUAUCCCAGUUCCCAUUAUCCCAGUUCCCAUUAUCCCAGUUCCCAUUAUCCCAGUCCCCAUUAUCCCAGUCCCCAUUAUCCCAGUUCCCAUUAUCCCAGUUCCUGUUAUCCCAGUUCCCAUUAUCCCAGUUUCCCAUCCAUUAUCCCAGUUUCCCAUCCAUUAUCCCAGUUUCCCAUUAUCCCAGUUUCCCAUCCAUUAUCCCAGUUUCCCAUCCAUUAUCCCAGUUUCCCAUUAUCCCAGUUCCCAUUAUCCCAGUUUCUCCCCCAUUAUCCCAGUUUCCCAUCCAUUAUCCCAGUUUCCCAUUCAUUAUCCCAGUUUGUCCCCCAUUAUCCCAGUUUCCCAUCCAUUAUCCCAGUUUCCCAUCCAUUAUCCCAGUUCCCAUUAUCCCAGUUUGUCCCCCAUUAUCCCAGUUUCUCCCCCAUUAUCCCAGUUUCCCAUCCCUUAUCCCAGUUCCCAUUAUCCCAGUUUCCCAUCCCUUAUCCCAGUUUCCACCCUUUAUUCCGUGCUCCCCAGCAAUCCCAGUUUUCCACAAUACCUGCGAGACUGGGAUCCUAUGGAAUGGGAUAAACUGGAAUGGGAUAAACUGGAAUGGGAUAAACUGGACUGGGAGAGCCUGA